CUGGAAAAGAUGCCACCAGCACCGCCCCACAAGCUGCAGACGUGGGAGCCCUGAUGUGGCCUAUUUAUUAUUUAUUCAACUUUGACACCACAUUAAGCAACCUCCUGAGGGAAGUGCAAUUGGAUUCACAUGAAUUAAAGCACACACAGGGGCGAGACCACAUUUUGGCAGCUCCUAAAAUGACAGAGUGACGUCGCAGUGUAAGCAGAGGCCGGCUUCCAAAUGAAACAUAAAGAAGCUCUUCUAUAAAAAGCGAGAACUCGGCGAAACCUCGGCCAGUCAGAAGGAGAGGCCUCUGCAGACACGGAGCACACGUGUGUUAUCAAGCGGGGCUGAGGAGUCUUCAGCUGAACCGUGCACCUGAAGAUGCCCAUGACUCCAUGAUCAGAUAGAAACUAUUGAGCUUGGCACCUGGGGCUCUGGAAAUCCAGACACUAAGUUGUGAUCCUGGCACCACUUCCCUGGAAACCCGUAUCUGGACAUGCCCACAUCCUUCCGGCUUUGUGCCUCUUGUCUGGAUUUCUUGGGACAGACACAGCAAAGCCUCACGUGUUCUGAGAAGUGACCUGGCCUUCCACUGACAUUCUAACCAGAUGCUUCAGCACCUUGGAGAGCUCCACAAGACCCACAGACCCGGGCCCCCCAACCACAAGAAAUAUAAUAAAAUACUGCUUUGAGACUCAAUUUCAGCACUUAGCUACAUAAAUAAAAGUUCCAGGAAGACUAAAUCUUAGAACCAACAGGGAGAUGAGCACUUCCAGAGUUUCAUCAGCUUCCAAAUGAUAUUUAAAUAUGAGAACGUGAGGCCUGGCUGGGCCUGUGGUGAAAUCUCCAUAACAGCAUCCUUGUAAUAAAUGCUGAAAUUCAUGCAACCAUGGCCUGCCCCCUUCACGGAUCGCAAUUCAUAAUUGUUGCUGAUUGUCACAAACCAUAGGGCUCUGAACCAAAAUCCAAUGGAGCCCGUGCAUGUGUGUGCAUGAGUGUGUGCACCUGUGUGUGUGCAUGUAUGAAGGUGUGCACUCGUGUGUGUGUGUAUGCGUGUAUGUGUGCAUACAGGUGUGUUAGCAUAUGUGUUUGCGACUAAUUUUUAGACAUGUGUCUCGGCUCUUUCUCCAGCUGGGAAUUUCAAAUGACUUGUGAGAAAAUCUGUAAGGUUAAACAUGUGGAUUUUGGAAGAUGAGAACAAAGAACGAAUACUGAUACAUUUUGGCUUAUUAUUUUGACAGUUUUGAAUUCCCACAGUAGUCUUACAACCAAAUCUUGUGAAAGUGUUUAUUCCGUUCCGUUGACCAGAAUGAGUAACAAACCUGAGAAAUGCUUUUGUGUCGUACAUUGUGUAGUGCAUUGUUAAGGCCCUCAGGUUAGCAAAAGCUGUCCUCAGCUGUGGAGCUGACUGCAGUGUGUCACUGACAUUAGCAACUGGACUUCAUUUGAUGAGCAGGCUGAACCUCUGGACAUUAAAAAGAGUAUUCACGGCCGGGCGCGGUGGCUCAAACCUGUAAUCCCAGCAUUUUGGGAGGCCGAGG
rnacentral:lncRNA from 1 species